rnacentral:misc_RNA from 1 species
GCGUGUCUGCCAAGUGCUAUCCUGUCGCCACACUAUACAGACACAGGAAGUAGAGCAGUGAGCCAAGGGCGAUAGCAUGUCAGCUCCUCGUAAUCCGUCGCCUCUAGAGGCAGCUAAUGUACCAGCCUCGGCAACACCAACUGCGCCAGCGACCGCAGCGGAGGCCGCAUCUAGGUCUCCAGGCCAUGCUGAGGCUUCUCUUGAUCCACAUCCGUUAUUCGAAGUAGCGGCGUCGCUCCUCGCUCGUCUGAAGCCCUUCUUGUCAGAGCCGCACAUCGAGGUUGAGGCGCGACUUUGUAGCAUCGGCCAGCCUCAGAAGCGAGCACGUGAGAACACGCAGAAGGCCCCUGUUGGCGCUACCCCUACAUUAAUUCCAUCACGCGAUGCACCGCGUAUUGUGGAAGACGGACGUCGUCGCAUUCAAGUCGGUGUGAGCGCGGAAGACUUCGCCAGGAUGAAGGCACAUGUUGCGGAAGAGGCGGAGGCCUUGCCGUUCCAGCAGUCCGUGACGGAGGAUGUCAUUACGAAGACUGGCCGCUACACGUACGUCGUUGCCGAAGACGGGUCAGAAUCGUUUGUCGGGUGCAUAGCGAAGAGGCGGCUGUGCAACAUCGAGGUGCUCGUGCCGGGCUGCCCGUACGACGUUCGUGUCUCCAUCAGCACAGAGGUGCCCAAGGCAGCAACGAGUGCGCCUGCUGUAAAGCCGCAAGGGUACGUUCGUCGCAAGCGGCGGUGGACAGCAACGGCAGAGUCCUUUGAGUACGCCUUUACGCGCGUCGGCGCCGACGGCCAACAGUGCCCAAGCUUCGAGGUGGAAAUUGAGGGCGUGCACGCAAACAGCCAGGCUGGUGUGACCGAGGCUUGGCUGGCGGAUCUGCUGCGCCGUUUGCUGGCCCUCGCGCGGCUGAAGGGCAACACCGGAUUGCCACAAAAGCCGGCGCGUGGAGAGCACCAAUGAUGGCGCUCUCGGCGCGCAUCGCUAAUGUGGUCUUGUACGCGUGUGUGCCGCUCUUGCCCCCUCCCUCCGAUUUACAUGCGCGGGCGGUUGAGAGAAGGGGGACCGCACGGGCAGUAUCUGCGCCAUCCGCCUGCACCCACUCCCUCUCGCUCCGGUCGGCUCACCCCCUCUCAUGUCUCGCAUUUUUUAACGGGCGUCUUGGCAGCAUCAUUGCCGACACCGAAGUCUGAGCACGCUCAUGAGGCGGCACGGAGAACAAGUUGCCUUGUCGCGUGUACGCGCUUGCGCCCAUGUGUCUCCCUCUCCUCACCCUGCUCCUCUCAGCGUCAGCGUUUUCGUAAUUCUCUCCCUCACUCCAUCCUUUUUCGAACGGAGCCGCCUUUCAUGUAUGGUGUGCGUGCGUGCUCUGUGCCUGAUGCCGCCGUCUGCAGUGGCGCACAGCCGACUACACCUACCGCUGUGCUCAUCUUGUUCCGUUGCAUACAGACAGUGGCAGGCGUGCGUUGUUGUGCUGCUCCACUUUCCCCCCUCCCUCUUUUCCCACCCCUUGCACUUCUCCUCCCUUUCUCCCAUGGUGUCUGUAUGGGCACUCUCCCGCCGCCGCUGCUUGUGCUGCCGCUGACGCCCUUGUGCAACACAUCCCUCAUUCACACACGCCCCGCCUUCUCCUCUCAACACACCAAAG